rnacentral:rRNA from 1 species
GAGUUUGAUCAUGGCUCAGAUUGAACGCUGGCGGAAUGCUUUACACAUGCAAGUCGAACGGCAGCACGGACUUCGGUCUGGUGGCGAGUGGCGAACGGGUGAGUAAUAUAUCGGAACGUGCCCAGUCGUGGGGGAUAACGUAGUGAAAAUUACGCUAAUACCGCAUACGAUCUAUGGAUGAAAGCGGGGGACUCGCAAGAGCCUCGCGCGAUUGGAGCGGCCGAUAUCAGAUUAGGUAGUUGGUGAGGUAAAGGCUCACCAAGCCCGCGAUCUGUAGCUGGUCUGAGAGGACGACCAGCCACACUGGAACUGAGACACGGUCCAGACUCCUACGGGAGGCAGCAGUGGGGAAUUUUGGACAAUGGACGAAAGUCUGAUCCAGCCAUUCCGCGUGCAGGAUGAAGGCCCUCGGGUUGUAAACUGCUUUUGUACGGAACGAAAAGGUCUCUCCUAAUACGAGAGGCUCAUGACGGUACCGUAAGAAUAAGCACCGGCUAACUACGUGCCAGCAGCCGCGGUAAUACGUAGGGUGCAAGCGUUAAUCGGAAUUACUGGGCGUAAAGCGUGCGCAGGCGGUUAUAUAAGACAGAUGUGAAAUCCCCGGGCUCAACCUGGGAACUGCAUUUGUGACUGUAUAGCUAGAGUACGGUAGAGGGGGAUGGAAUUCCGCGUGUAGCAGUGAAAUGCGUAGAUAUGCGGAGGAACACCGAUGGCGAAGGCAAUCCCCUGGACCUGUACUGACGCUCAUGCACGAAAGCGUGGGGAGCAAACGGGAUUAGAUACCCUGGUAGUCCACGCCCUAAACGAUGUCAACUGGUUGUUGGGUCUUAACUGACUCAGUAACGAAGCUAACGCGUGAAGUUGACCGCCUGGGGAGUACGGCCCGCAGGGUGAAACUCNAAGGAUUGACGGGGACC